CAGGCCAGCAUGGACAUGAAGAUGGUGUCACAGACUCAGGUUUUCAUAUUCCUAUUGCUCUGGUUGUCUGGUGCUGAUGGAGACAUUGUGAUGACCCAGUCUCCCAAAUCCAUGUCUACAUCAGUAGGAGACAGGAUCUCCCUGACCUGCAAGGCCAGUCAGAAUGUGAAUAGUUAUGUAGCCUGGUACCAACAGAAACCAGGGCAGUCACCUAAGCUUCUGAUCUAUAGGGCAUCCAACCGGUACACUGGGGUCCCUGAUCGCUUCACAGGCAGUGGAUCUGGGACAGAUUUCACUCUCACCAUUAGCAGUGUGCAGGCUGAAGACCCAGCCAUUUAUUACUGUCAGCAGUAUAACAGCUAUCCUCCCACAGUGCUUCAGCCUCCUACACAAACAUCUGAGAUUCUAACCAGCUGCCUGUACCACACAUCCAGUGACCUACACACUUCCCCUUCUGCCUGCAGCUGCUAUGCCAAACUGUUUCAAGUUUGGUAG